CAAAACAAAGAAACAAAAAGAUGCACAUAGAAUUUCUGCAAAUCGAGGCCUGUGUCCCACCAGUGUCAACAGUACUAAGGUUGAGAUAUCCUCCUCAAAAGCCACCUGGCUGGGGAAGGAGCAGGAAGGACGGACGUUGAUAGGGUAGGCGCAGAGCUGCCUCAGCAUUUCUGCCAGACCUGCAAAUGGAAAUGCUCCAGGUGCAAAGAGGGCCAGAUGCUGUCCUUUGAGGCCAUUGGGCUGGCUGAAGACACCCCGGGAGAACUUUCAGCCAUGACAAUCAUCUGUGCUCUUCUCUCUGUGCCUAACAUUGUCAUCUCCCAUAUGCACCACUGGCCCACCUUUGAGAAAGAAUUCAAACUCCACUUCCUGGCCAGGCUGGUCUCGAACUCCUGACCUCAAACCCCACUUUCUUCAUGAGGCUUGCUAUGACCCCACCACACCCACCAGGCCAGACCACCAUCACCUCUCACUGGACCCUGCUACGACCACCUCCCUGAUCUUUCUGCCCUUGGGCUCGCUCCAUGGAGCCCCUUCUCCACACAGCAGCAGCCAGAGGCAGUUUCUGGAGCCCACAGCUGAAUGCGUUGUUCUCCUUGCUCAGGCAGAGAAGAGGACAGAUGGGGUUUUGGUCUCCUGUGUGUAGCCAGAGGGACUGCCUUGUCCUUCGCCAUCUCCAGUAGUUCCUGAGACCACAGCUGCUGAUGGCAAAUGCCCCCAGUCCCAGCCAUGCCCCAGCCCCCUGCAUUGAGAGACCCAGCUCCACCCAGAGGGCAGCUGCAGCCUCCUUCAUCCACAGCCACUGCUGUGACCAAGAGGGACAUUGUCCUGGAAGGCCAGUGGAGCCUUUCUGAGGCCUUCACAGGCCCAAUGUCCACCCUGGUCAUGACACGUAUAAUAACACAGCUCUUGCAUUAAAUACUAUUUACUGCAGCAGAAUUUUUUUUUAAGUUUGUUAUAAUUUUGAAUUUUGUGAAGAGUAAAUUAUUCAUUUUGUUUUUUAACUUGAAUUUAUUCAUUAUACCUAAGUAAGAAUUGAUCUGGGCUAUGCUUGGCUAGUUGGUAUAAUACCACAUCUGUAGACAUUUAAUUAAACAUGUAUUAAUUUUAAUGUUGUUUUCUGCUCACAUUUUAGCAUCAAUUUUUUUUAAAUCAGGGCUUGAAUAUUUGUGUAA
rnacentral:lncRNA from 1 species